rnacentral:lncRNA from 7 species
UAUUUCCCCCUGCCAUUGCUACGGGUACACGCCUAUACUGACGGUGGGGCGGUGGCACGCAGCAGACAGCACGGCUUUGGGCCUUUGGCCUUGGACAACACGAUCUUGCCUCACUCAUUGCUUCUUUCGGUUUGAAUCCUUUCGGGUCGCCAUCGGAUCUGUGGCGGAUCUCUAUUUGCUGGUGCAUGCAUCAUGUGUGUUCUUUCUAGUCCGUUUAAGCUCUCAAUGUUGGUGAAGUAUAGGUUGGUUAAGGUGUGUGGUUGAGGUUAGUAUAUAUGAACAACAUCUGUUACCGAUCGAGAAGUCUCUCUCUUCUCUGCUGUGUGGUUUGAAAUGUACUUGUAUUUUU